AUGAAGCGUAAGAAAACAAACCCCGUUGUUGUCGAACUGAUGUUUGAACACAGUGAGGGAAACUUGACGAUGACAUCAUCGACCCUCAGCGACGGUUCAUGUCAACACAAACUCACCACGUAUAAUCUGACCAACACUCCUGGACGCUUCUUCCAUCAUGUUGCACAGUUUGCAGCAGAUGUGGAUUCAUUUGUGGUUCAAACCAACUACACCGACCAUGCCGUGAUGUUUCUGAAGGGUGUUGAGAAACCGUUAGAAAUCACGACCUUUACAGCCAAACUUUAUAGUGAGCAGUCUUUCCCCAAC
rnacentral:lncRNA from 1 species